GACGAACGCUGGCGGCGUGCUUAACACAUGCAUGUCGAACGGAAAGGCCCUGCUUUUGUGGGGUGCUCGAGUGGCGAACGGGUGAGUAACACGUGAGUAACCUGCCCUUGACUUUGGGAUAACUUCAGGAAACUGGGGCUAAUACCGGAUAGGAGCUCCUGCUGCAUGGUGGGGGUUGGAAAGUUUCGGCGGUUGGGGAUGGACUCGCGGCUUAUCAGCUUGUUGGUGGGGUAGUGGCUUACCAAGGCUUUGACGGGUAGCCGGCCUGAGAGGGUGACCGGCCACAUUGGGACUGAGAUACGGCCCAGACUCCUACGGGAGGCAGCAGUGGGGAAUAUUGCACAAUGGGCGGAAGCCUGAUGCAGCAACGCCGCGUGCGGGAUGACGGCCUUCGGGUUGUAAACCGCUUUCGCCUGUGACGAAGCGUGAGUGACGGUAAUGGAUAAAGAAGCACCGGCUAACUACGUG
rnacentral:rRNA from 1 species